rnacentral:rRNA from 1 species
GACAGAGGGUGCAAACGUUGUUCGGAAUUACUGGGCGUAAAGCGUGCGCAGGCGGUCUUUUAAGUCAGAUGUGAAAUCCCCGGGCUUAACCUGGGAACUGCGUUUGAAACUGGAAGGCUUGAGUGUGUCAGAGGGGGGUAGAAUUCCACGUGUAGCAGUGAAAUGCGUAGAUAUGUGGAGGAACACCGAUGGCGAAGGCAGCCCCCUGGGAUAACACUGACGCUCAUGCACGAAAGCGUGGGGAGCAAACAGGAUAGAAACC